rnacentral:rRNA from 1 species
UACAGAGACUGCAAGCGUUAUUCGGAUUCACUGGGCGUAAAGGGUGCGCAGGCGGCCAUGUGAGUCAGGUGUGAAAGCCCGAGGCUCAACCUCGGAAUUGCGCCUGAAACUACAUGGCUAGAGUACUGGAGAGGGUAGCGGAAUUCAUGGUGUAGCAGUGAAAUGCGUAGAUAUCAUGAGGAACACCAGAGGCGAAGGCGGCUACCUGGACAGUUACUGACGCUCAGGCACGAAAGCGUGGGGAGCAAAAGGG